GACAGAGGUGCCAAGCGUUAGGCGGAAUCACUGGGCUUAAAGCGUGUGUAGGCGGAAUUCUAAGUCAGGGGUGAAAUCCUGGAGCUCAACUCCAGAACUGCCUUUGAUACUGGAGAGCUUGAGUCCGGAAGAGGUGAGUGGAACUCCGAGUGUAGAGGUGAAAUUCGUAGAUAUUCGGAAGAACACCAGUGGCGAAGGCGGCUCACUGGUCCGGUACUGACGCUGAGGUGCGAAAGCGUGGGGAGCAAACAGG
rnacentral:rRNA from 1 species